rnacentral:lncRNA from 1 species
AUUUCCUUAUAACCCUCACCCAGGUUUCCCAAAUGUAACAUUUUAUCAUAUUAGCUUUUAACUAUCUCUAGCUCUUUCUUUCCUCUCUCUCCAUAUACACACGCACACACACAUAAUAUAAUAUUACUUUUCUGAACUAUUUGAGAAUCAGUCGUAAACAUGACACCUCUUUACCCCUAAAUACUUCAGUGUGAUUUUCUAAAAACGAGGACGACAUCAUACAAAACUACAACUCAGGGAGUUAAUAUUGAUAUAAUACUAUUAUCUAAUCUACAGAUUUUAUUCAGAUUUUUUCAAGCAUCCCAAUGAAAAGAAAACCCCAGAUCAUGUGUUACAUUCAAUUCUCAUGUCUCUUUAGUUUCUUUUCAUUUCAAGCAUUUCUUCAAUCUUUCUUAGUAUUGCAUGACAUUGGUAUUUUUGGAAAGUACAGGCCAAUUGUUUUGACCUGGGAGAGUUUUAAAAACUACCUCUGGGGCCUCACUCCAUGCUUUUCUGUUUAACUGGUUAAAGGUGAGGCUUGCACAUUGAUAUUUUAAAAACUACAGUAAUUAUAACAAGAACUCUCCAGUUGGUUCUAAUGGACAGCCAGGCUUGAGAAACUCCUGGUUCUGGGACUUCAGAAUAGGGUAGAAUCCCUGCUGGGUGGGGCUAAUCAGGGAAGGGGGGACUUCGGCUGGGCCUUGAAUGGUGGUUGGUUAGGCCAAAGGCAUGGACUCAGAUAUAAUUCAGAUGCCAGCUUUGCCUCUCACUACCUGUGGUUUUUGGACCAUUUACCUCACUUCUAUGAGUCCCCGUUUCUUUACCUGUAAAACCUAGUAAUAAAUCUCACCUUAUAUAAGAUUCUUGUGAAAAUUAAACUAACCAAUAUAUUGAAAAAUGCCUAGCUCAGGGCCUAGCACAUAGUGAGUAGCUGCCAUAAUAUUAGUAUAGCAGUGUUAGUAUUGUCAUUCAUAUUAUUAUUAAAGGGCAGGGCAUUCUGGGCAGAAGUAACGUAAAACUGUUGAGAAAGGAACAGUGAAUUAUGUAAGUGACAUCUCUCUGAUGAGUUCGAGGACCGUAUCUGACUCAUACUUGGGUGCUCAGCUAUGUGAGGAGUGUUGUUCAGGCCAGGCUGGUUAGAGUCAGCUAAGGGCUGGGCAGGGGAAGAACACUCUACCAGAUGAGUAGUGUCUAAAAUCAAGGGGGAAUGGGCUUCAUGGAUGGUUUUCAGCUGGUGUUGUGAGGCCCCCAGGAGGAGCCUGGGGCCCUUUGCAGGAGUGAGGGUCAGCAAAGUGUAUCAGACUCUGGGACUCCCUUCCACUUGUUUCUGCUUUAAAUAUAUACUGGGGAUCCAUGAGGGAGUUUAUUUAAAUUACGAAUCCACAAGAUUAGGUGGUGGCCAAGAGUUUCCUUUUCAGCUCACGACUUUCCACAAGCCUGUGGGAUGUGACUGGUCCAGCACCUGGCUUGGCUGCCUCCUUGCGGGGCCUGGGUAUGAGACACAUCUCCUGUCACCUGCUGGUGGCUUCCCUGCCGUGAGAGGCUGAAUAAUGGUCCCCAAAGACACUUACAUGCAAAUCCCAGGAACCUGUGAAUAUUACCUUUCGUGGGACUUUGCAGAUGUGAUUACAUUAAGCAUCUUGAGAUGAGGAGAUUAUCCUUGAUUAUCUGAGUGGGCCCAGUGUCAUCACAGGUGUUCUUAUAAGAGAGAAAUAGAAGGAGAUUUGACACAGAAGGAGGCAAUGUGACCACUGAAGAAAGAUGCUCAAAGCUGUUGUCUUUGAAGAUGGAAAAAGGGGCCAUGAGCUGCAAGAAAUGCAGUUCUAGAAGCUGGAAAAGGCAAGCAAAGGGAUUCUCUCCUAGAGCCUUUGCAGGGAGCGUGGCCUUGCUGACACUUUGAUUUUGGCCCAGUGAAACUGAUUUCACACUUCUGACCUUGGAGUCAGAACUGUAAGAGAAUAGAUGUGUGUGUUUUUCAUUUUCAAACAAAAUCAAUAACAAGAUAAUCUUCAUUAAAAAAGUGCUAAGUAACAAAAGCAGGCUAUAAAACUAUACAUACAUAAUUUGCUCCACAAAUAAUUAUGUAUGCUUAUGUGUGCGUGCGUGUGUGUGCGCGAGCACAUGAAUUAGGGGCUGUUGUAUGUGCAUACAAUCACAUACAUAAAACUUAGAAGGAAAACUGUUAGUGGUGGUUAUCUCUGGAUGCUGGAGGUCUUAAAAUACUUUUUAAUAGUAAUCAUGUUCCACAGCAUAUGGGAACACUCAGGUACAGUUUGACAGACAACAUAGAAGUAGAGAUGAGAUACAAAGUUAGAACAAGAGAGUUGACAUUAUUUGGGCUUCUGGAUCCAGAAACGUAUAAAUCCAGCUCCCCAUUGCCCUUCCCACAAUUUCACCAAAUAUAGAAAUACAUUACUCACAUUUUGUGUUUUGCUUGUUUUGCCUCGUGUAGGUUUAAACUGGGUUUCUAUCACUUGAAUCAAAUUUGUGUAUUUAUCUAUUUAUUUAUUUAUUUAUUUAAGAUUGGCACCUGAGCUAACAACUGUUACCAAUCUUUUUUUUUUUUCUCUGCUUUAUCUCCCCAAAUCCCCCCGGUACAUAGUUGUAUAUCUUAAUUGCAGGUCCUUCUAGUUGUGGCAUGUGGGAUGCUGCCUCAACGUGGCCUGACAAGUGGUGCCAUGUCUGCGCCCAGGAUCCGAACCGGAGAAACCCUGGGCCGCUUCAGCGGAGUGCGAGAACUUAACCACUAGGCCACGGGGCCGGCCCCUGUGUGUUGUUUUAAGCCACCAAGUUUGUGAUAAUUUGUUAGAGCAGCUAUAGGAAACUAACACACCUGUUCUCCUCCCCUCUUCACCCCACCCUCUUCUCGGAGCAUCUGGAUGUUCAAGAUGCUGCUCUUGCAUUUGUCAAUCAUAACGUGGGCUGUGGUUGAGACCUGGUUUAUAACCCUCUCUGUAGGACUAUACACAAUACUGAAACAAUUAAAAAAUGGAAAGAAUAAACCAAAUCUUUUGGGUUACAUGAUGUAAAUAAUUCAGAUGGAUUUUUCAUCAAUUAUGACUUUUUUUUACUAAGCAGCUAAUUUAAUGUUGAAUUGAACUAUAGUUAACAAUACUGUAUGAUAUACUUGCAAGUUGCUAAGAGAGUAGAUCUUAAAUGUUCUCACCCCCAAAAAUGUUAAUUAUGUGAUGGAGGUGUUUAACUUUGUUGUGGUAAUCAUUUUGCAAUAUAUAUGUGUAUCAAAUCAAACGUUCACCUUAAACUUACAAAAUGUUAGAUGUCAAUUAUCAGUAAAACUGGAAAAAAAUACUGAAUUGACAAAGUUGACUAGUUUUAUAUAAUUCAGUAUUUUUCCCUUCAAAAUGAUUGUUUUAAAAGGCAAUGUAUUUGUCUCUCAGCAAAUUAACCAAAUUUACACUCACUGAAGUUGCUUAUUUUUGCCCUGAAUUUAGUGAUUGUCCCUGUUCCACCCCAGGGAUCUGUAGAAAGAAUCUGAAGCCAGGUAGCUCCCUGGAGUCUCUGGGCUCCCCACCCCAGCUGUGAAAAGGAAGGUUUCCCAAGAGGAGGGUGUGACAAUGCUCGUAAGGUGAUUAGUGUUUCUUGCUUCAGAGGCAGGUGUAACCUGAAGAGCUGGCACCAGCCUCUUAGGCCAAACACCUCCUCCACCUGAAGUGAGCAGGUGAAAACAUGCCCCUGCCUGACUCAGCUGGAGGAAUGAAGGAGUACCAUGCGAGGGCCCAGCGUUCCUUCUCAAAUCUUGACAUCAUGGAAUUGGGGCUGACCUCAUGGAUCAUCUGAAGACACUGAGCUCAGCGCAGGAGUGAGACUUACCCAAGGUCGCACGCCAUGACUGUGGCAGAGAAUCCCAGGACUCUGUCCACCCUAGGCUGCCUCUCAUUUGGCAGGACAACCGACUUCCUUGUUGAAUACCUGCCUUUUAGAGAGCUUCCUUCCAAAUGGUGAGGGCCCCUUGUUCUCUCAGCCCUUCUACGGGUGUAACAGUCACACCUCUCCCCUCUUGGAAGAGAACUGUACCUGUUCUAAACACUUCCACACCUUCCCCCUUCCUUUGAGCCUCACCUGAAGAUGGAGAGCUAAACAUUAUUGCUUGCAUUUGAUGCAUGGGGAGACUGAGUCCCAGAGAGCUGAGGUGACUAGCCCAAGGUCAAAAAGCAAGUUAGUAGCAGACUCAGGAUUUGAAUACAGAAAUCUUGAUUCCUAGUCCAGUGUUCUUGCCUUUAUGUUAAAUUCCUGGAAGAACGCCUGCUGCUGGAUUAAACAGCAGCCAAGGCCUUUGAUAACAUAAUCCUGAGGCUGUCACUCUAACCUGCAUUCCGUUCUCUUCACGCUUGCCCCUCAGGGCCUUUGCACUGGCUGUUCUCUCUACCUGAGAGGCCCUUGCCCCAGACAUCCACGUGGCUCAGUCCCUCUUUCCUCCUACACCAUUCAGGAGAGGGACUCUUUGAUCACCCUGUCCCUUCCCGGCCCUCUUUAUCUUCUUAUUCUGCUUUAUUUUCCAUUCUAGUUUAUCAUAGCCUGAUAUAUUAUAUACACUAUUUGCUUGUUUCUUCAAAAUUUAUCUUCCACAACUAGAAUGAGAAUAAGGACUAUCUUCUUCAACUUAGUACCUCUAAUGCCUAGAGCAGUGUAUGUGGCACGUAGAAAGUGUUCAGUAACUAUUUAUUGAAUUAUAAGAACAGAUACAGUAAAUAUGCAUCCAAACUGAACUAUUCAUGUUCCUGGCCUUUGCCCAUGUGAUUCCUC